rnacentral:lncRNA from 1 species
UAUAAGCAGGUUCGUUGGUUCCCUUAGGCUUUGGUUGGGUUGUUUUCUUUUGUUGUUGGUCUUCUGUUUUCUUUCUUGGUUCUUCUUCUUCCGGUUUUCUAGAGCCGAGCUUCUUAGGGGUGAUGGUUAGGCCGGAACUCCUGAAGUUGUCUCUUCCCGCUCCUGAACCGAAUGUGAGUCUUUCACGAGUACUCUUUUUCCUUCUAAGGUUUCUUCUUAGAAGGUUUUAAUGAGGCUCGGUCUUUUGUUUGCUCUCUUUUGCGCUUUCUUGG